AUCAUUCACAAUGGGGGAAACCCUGAUGGUGCGACGCCGCGUGGGGGAAUGAAGGUCUUCGGAUUGUAAACCUCUGUCUUCAGUGACGAAAAUGACGGUAACUGAGGAGGAAGCCACGGCUAACUACGUGCCAGCAGCCGCGGUAAUACGUAGGUGGCAAGCGUUGUCCGGAAUUACUGGGUGUAAAGGGAGCGUAGGCGGGAAGACAAGUUGGACGUUAAAUCUAUCGGCUCAACCGGUAGCAGCGUUCAAAACUGCCUUUCUUGAGUGAAGUAGAGGUAAGCGGAAUUCCUAGUGUAGCGGUGAAAUGCGUAAAUAUUAGGAGGAACACCAGUGGCGAAGGCGGCUUACUGGGCUUUAACUGACGCUGAGGCUCGAAAGCAUGGGUAGCAAACA
rnacentral:rRNA from 1 species